rfam:Pantoea sp. PSNIH1 plasmid pPSP-26e, complete sequence.
UGUGUUGUAGCUCAGCGGCAGCAGCGUUCGCUCUUUUAUUCGGCCUGCAGGGCGGUUAAAGGGACAAGCGAAAGGUCGCCGGUUCAAAUCCGGCCAGCACAA